ensembl:lncRNA
CUGGGAUUUGGGGAUACCUGGGCCAGGGGGGACCGGGAUUUGGGGCCUCCCAUAGCCACGGGGUCCCAGGAUUCAGGGAGUACCCUGGCAAGGGGAUACCAGGCUUUGGGGAUGCCCUGACCAGAGGGUACCGAGAUUCAAGGGGUGGCCUGGCUGAGGAGGCUGAGGGUGCCUUGCUUGGGGGAUACCAGGAUUUAGGGGGUACCCUGGCCGCGGGGGUACCAGGCUUUGUGGGGUCACACAACCAAAAGGUUCCAUGGGGUGGAAAGGGCCAGAGGGGUUUGGGGGUGCCCUGGCCGGGGGAUACCUUGCUCUCCACAUCUCUCAGCACCAACUCCUGGUCCUUGACUUCCAGGAUGACAUCCUGCCCCCAGAUCCGCCCCUGCUCCUCCAGGCCCUUCAGGCGCCUCAGACAAUCCUCGGCGCUGCGGAGAUCCCGCUCCAGAUGCAUCGUGAGCAGGUUUGUGGACCAAACUGACCCCACCCAGGGAGGGUCCCUGGCGUCCUGUGCCCCCCGGGUAUUACGCGGAGCAGGCGAACCGCUUUGGGAGUGUUCGGGGAGCUCGGCAGACACGCAGGGGCAGAACCGGGGGGAAUGGGUUUUGGGGAGCUGUGAAUUCCCCCCAAAAGGGAGCGGGGAGCGGGUGCCGGCGUUGGGGUCGUGCCUCAGUUUCCCCAUUCGGGGAGGGGCAAUGUACAGUCCCCACCUCGGCCACGAGGGGGAAGCACGUCCCCGCGUCGCCCCCGUCCCCCGAUGUGUCACCCCCCAGAUGUGUGUCCCGCCAGAUGUGUGACCCCCAUGUGUGGAGCCCCAGAUGUGUGAGCCCCCCCAAAUGUGCAGCCACCAUCCCCAGAUGAGGAGCCCCAGAUGUGUGACACUGAUGUGUAGCUCCCCCAGAUGUGUGACCCCCCGAGGUGUGCAACCCCCCCAGAUGUGCGACGCCCCCAGAUGUGGAGACCCAGAUGUGAAGGGUCCCAGGUCCUUCUGACCCCACCGGAGUCCCUGCCGCUGGGGACAUUUGGGUGACACUUCUCGGGGCAGGUUGGCACCAGGGGCCGCCUCUGGUCCCCGUGGGGAAUUUCGGGUCACAUCCCCCCAAAAUCCCAGCCCCCCCCCCACCCCCAUACACGGCUGCGAAACCCCCUCGGCAGCACCCAGGGCACGGCAGGACCGCGGCCCGUCCUUUCCCACCCCCGGCAGGGACAGAGUGCUCGCCCCGCCCCGUCCCAGCUCCUCCCAGUCACCCCACUGGGUAAGCUGGGAAUGGCACGAGCUGCAGAUACACUGUAAACCCUCCUUUUUAUUGUUUUUCUCCUCAAUUCCCAGCCACAGGCAACACUGCCCUGCACACCCCCAACCCGGCUGUGCCCCCCUCGCCCUUCCCCAGGCUCGGGAAGUCCCCAGGGGACACCAAUCCCCUCGGGAAGAGCCAGGAAAGGGCACGAAGGCUUCUGGAGACACAGGAAUCUUUCCCCAUGUCAGGCUUUGAAACCGCCAGCAUCAAAAUGUGCAAAAUCUGUGAAGUGGCCCCAAAACGCAGCUGCUUUGGGGAGGGAAAUGGCCUCAUCCUGCACCCCCUGUUCUGCUCCUGGGGAGGGCACUCCACACCCACCAAGGGGACAGUUCUGGGGAUGACAUCCUGUCCCCACUGGGGACACCUGAUCAGGCUCUACCCCAUAGACAGCACGGGGUUGGGGCAUUUUGGGGGGUCACCAGGCAGAGUGGACCACGGAGCCACCAGAGUCUGGAAUUCCCGGUGACACAUCGCUCCCGGCCAGGUGCCAUGAGGCCGCGGGGCCGGGAAGCAGCUGUGGCUCCGGGGGCUGGGUGCCAGCCAGGGACAAACCACCAGCCAGCCUGGAUCCGUCCUCACGUCAGCGGGCCGGGCUGCGGUGUACCCGGAUCUGUCACCUAAUUGCUGGGGACCAGCGUCUCUUCGUCUCUUCGUCAUUUUGGGGAUGGCUGGGGACGUUUAACCCCUUGGGGGCUGGGAAACUGUGCUGGAUCGGCCUCCCUGGGCCAGAGCAGCGGCAUGGCAGGACACAGGUGUCACACACGGCACGACACGGGUGUCACAGACGGCACGACACGGGUGUUACACAUGGCAUGACACGGGUAUUACACACGGCACGACACAGGUGUCACAGCAUGACACAGGUGUCACACACGGCACGACACGGGUGUCACACAUGGCAUGACACGAGUAUUACACACGGCACGACACGGGUGUCACACACGGCAUGACACAGGUGUCACAGCAUGACACGGGUGUCACACAUGGCACAACACGGGUGUCACACACCGCACGACAUGAGUAUUACGCACGGCACAACACGGGUGUCACACAUGGCACGACACAAGGCACAGCCCCAGGGCUGUACCUCUCAGGGGUGCCCAAAUCCCCAAGUCCUGCCCUCCACGGGGUGUGUUGGUGGUGACAGUGACGAGCCAAUGUCCCAGCUGCCAGGCUCAGACGUUGUUUUGGGGUGACACAGGAAAGGACAGAGGGAUGCUUGGUGACACCUCGCUGUCAUUCUGCUUGGUCUGUCCC